AUGUUCAUCACACAUUUCAUCUCAGAGUUAGAGCAAGAGAAGAACAAAGUUCAGAACCAGGUGAUCCGACAAAAGACUACAGGACUGAGAAGGUGGAUUCCGGCACCGCCGGGCUGCGCCAAGAUCAAUGUGGACGCCGCGGUUUCUCGAGGAGUGGGUGCAGUCGCGGCUGUGUGUAGGAACAACAAUGGAGACUAUCUUGGAUCUUCGGCGUUCGUCGUUCGAGGCUUGAUAGAUCCGCCUACUCUAGAGGCUAUUGCAUGCAGAGAAGGUUUAUCUCUGGCUGAAGAUUUGGGGCUGCAGAAUAUAGUGAUUGCGUCGGACUGUCAAGAAGUAGUGAAGCACAUCAUGGAAAAAUCAGGUGGAAACUAUGGUGGAGUGGUGAAAGAAAUAACUUCGUGGCAAUCUUUGUUUAGUUCUUGUUCUUUUAAGUUUGAAUCAAGAGUCUCAAAUUUUGAGCCUCACAAGUUAGCUAGGCAUGCUGUAAAGUUGGUUCAUGGCCGACAUAUUUGGCUGGGGCUACCACAUGACAUUUCUGUAAUACCGGUAGCAAUACCAACUCAUGAAUAA
rnacentral:rRNA from 1 species